GACGAACGCUGGCGGCGUGCUUAACACAUGCAAGUCGAACGGAAAGGCCUGCUUUCCCUUGUGGAUUGCGGGUACUCGAGUGGCGAACGGGUGAGUAACACGUGAGUGAUCUGCCCCCAACUUGGUUAUAAGCCUGGGAAACUGGGUCUAAUUCCCGAUAGGACUGCAGGGUGGUGCCUGUGGUGGAAAACGAUUUUCUAGUGGUUGGGGAUGAGCUCGCGGCCUAUCAGCUUGUUGGUGGGGUAAUGGCCUACCAAGGCGGCGACGGGUAGCCGGCCUGAGAGGGUGGACGGCCACAUUGGGACUGAGAUACGGCCCGGACUCCUACGGGAGGCAGCAGUGGGGAAUCUUGCACAAUGGGCGGAAGCCUGAUGCAGCGACGCCGCGUGGGGGAUGACGGCCUUCGGGUUGUAAACUCCUUUCGACCGCGAGGAAGCCACCUGGUUGGAAGGGUGGUGACGGUAGUGGUAGAAGAAGCACCGGCUAACUACGUG
rnacentral:rRNA from 1 species